GCCCAUCAUGAUCCACAUUUGUCGUCAUACUGGUUAAUUGCCCUCAGCUUAUUUAAGUGUCUGGUUUUCAGCUCAUCCUUGUGAGGUCAUCUGCUCUGUUGUGUCCCCUUUUUGUUGCUCCGUGAGUUUUUGGCUUUUUCAGUUUGUUUAUUACAUGUUUUAUUUUCUGCCACCAAGGCUGGUCUCCUGCAUUUUGGGUCCUCCGCCACCAGUUCCUGGCAACGAUAGGGGGGUGGUCACGUUGUUUCCUGUCUCCCGCCCCCCAGACUUGGGGGAUGGUCCGGCGUCUGCUACCGGGGUGUUUGGUGGCGUGUGGCGGGGUCCCGCCGAGAAAGGAUGCAGAGGAGCCAAGCUCCUUAUUGGUUAAACACACCUGAUCCAGGUAAUCAGAAGCAGAUAAGGCAGGGUUUCUGGAAAACCAGCAGGAGGCUGACCCUCGAGACCUAUAGUUGGACAUCCCUGGAAGAGUGUGGCAUAAGGGAACCGUACAGCAGCACCACCCAUACGUCAACUUACAUGAGCUUGACAGAGGCCUACUCCACCACGCCGCCUGACUCCACCUCUUGAUGGAGAUGAUUGCAGCCUCCUUCCUUCCUCCAAUCCCAAGGCUGGGCAGGCAAAAUAGAAGCUUUAGCAGCCCCACCUCCAGGGUGUGAGGGAUCCGUUCUCUCAGCCUGCCCCUGCUGUCGGACUUGGCUUUUAGGAGCCUGUGGAAAAGGCCCGGUUUUCCCUUUGUUGUGGUCUUCUUUUCAUGUAUGGUUUUGUCUUAGUACUGUCGCUCUGGUUUAAUUUUCACUUUAGGUUCAGUGGAUAGUUGUGUUAUUUCUCUUAUGUUGUAUUUUUGGCGGAUGCCUUCAGUUUGUUCCCUUUACUAAACCUCAUCUGUAAUCCCAUGGUGUUCACUCUCGCACCUGUCCAUCUAAUAAAUGGUUGCACUGUCAGUCUACACCCAA